UUCCGCCAAGAAGUCGACAUGGCGAGCGACUCCCCGGCUCGCAGCCUGGAUGAAAUCGAUCUCUUGGCCCUGAGGGACCCUGCAGGGAUCUUUGAAUUAGUGGAACUUGUUGGAAAUGGAACAUACGGGCAAGUUUAUAAGGGUCGGCAUGUCAAAACGGGCCAGCUUGCAGCCAUUAAGGUCAUGGAUGUCACAGGGGAUGAAGAGGAAGAAAUUAAACAAGAAAUUAACAUGCUGAAGAAGUAUUCUCAUCACAGAAACAUUGCUACAUACUGUGGUGCUUUUAUCAAAAAGAACCCUCCAGGCAUGGAUGACCAACUGUGGUUGGUGAUGGAGUUCUGUGGCGCUGGCUCUGUCACUGACCUGAUCAAGAACACCAAAGGCAACACGUUAAAAGAAGAGUGGAUUGCAUAUAUCUGCAGGGAGAUUUUACGGGGGCUGAGUCACCUGCACCAGCACAUAGUGAUUCAUCGUGAUAUUAAAGGGCAGAAUGUCUUACUGACUGAGAAUGCGGAAGUUAAACUAGUGGACUUUGGAGUCAGUGCCCAGCUCGAUCGAACAGUGGGCAGGAGGAACACUUUCAUUGGGACCCCGUACUGGAUGGCACCGGAAGUCAUUGCCUGUGACGAGAACCCAGAUGCCACAUAUGAUUUUAAGAGUGACUUGUGGUCUUUGGGAAUCACUGCCAUUGAGAUGGCAGAAGGCGCUCCCCCUCUUUGUGACAUGCAUCCUAUGAGAGCCCUCUUCCUCAUCCCCCGGAACCCCGCACCUUGCCUCAAGUCUAAGAAGUGGUCAAAAAAGUUCCAGUCAUUUAUUGAGAGCUGCUUGGUGAAGAAUCACAGCCAGCGACCAGCCACAGAACAAUUGAUGAAGCACCCGUUCAUUCAAGACCAACCUAAUGAGAGACAGGUCCGCAUUCAGCUGAAGGACCAUAUCGAUAGAACAAAGAAGAAGCGAAGAAGCGAGGAGAAAAAGAUGAGACUGAAUAUGAGUACAGUGGAAGUGAGGAGGAAGAGGAGGAGAAUGACUCUGGGGAGCCCAGUUCCAUUCUGAACCUGCCCGGAGAGUCGACACUUCGUCGGGACUUCCUGAGACUGCAGCUGGCCAACAAGGAGCGAUCGGAGGCCCUGCGGCAACAGCAGCUGGAGCAGCAGCAACGAGAGAACAAGGAGCACAAGCGGCAGCUGCUGGCUGAGCGCCAGAAGCGCAUCGAGGAGCAGAAGGAGCAGAGGCGGCGGCUGGAGGAGCAACAAAGGCGUGAGAAGGAGCUGAGGAAGCAGCAGGAGAGGGAGCAGCGCCGGCACUAUGAGGAGCAGAUGCGCCGAGAGGAAGAGAAGAGGCGUGCGGAACACGAGCAGGAAUAUAAGCGCAAACAACUGGAAGAACAGAGACAAGCAGAAAGACUGCAGAGACAACUAAAGCAAGAGAGAGACUAUCUGGUUUCCCUCCAGCACCAGAGGCAGGAGCAGAGACCCAUGGAGAAGAAGCCGCUCUAUCAUCACAAAGAAGGGAUGAGUCCCAGUGAGAAGCCUGCAUGGGCCAAAGAGGUAGAAGAACGUUCAAGACUCAACCGGCAGAGUUCACCUGCCAUGCCUCACAAGGUUGCCAACAGGAUAUCCGACCCCAACCUGCCCCCAAGGUCGGAGUCCUUCAGCAUUAGUGGGGUUCAGCCUGCUCGGACACCCCCAAUGCUCAGACCUGUUGACCCCCAGAUCCCACAGCUGGUAGCUGUAAAAUCCCUGGGACCUGCCUUGACCGCCUCCCAGUCCGUGCACGAGCAACCCACAAAGGGCCUGUCUGGGUUCCAGGAAGCUCUGAAUGUGACCUCUCACCGCGUGGAGAUGCCUCUCCAGAACUCGGAUCCCACCUCGGAAAACCCUCCUCUCCCGACUCGCAUCGAGAAGUUUGACCGAAGCUCUUGGUUACGACAGGAAGAAGACAUUCCACCAAAGGUGCCUCAAAGAACAACUUCUAUAUCCCCAGCAUUAGCCAGAAAGAACUCUCCUGGGAAUGGCAGUGCUCUGGGACCCAGACUCGGAUCGCAACCCAUCAGGGCAAGCAACCCUGAUCUCCGAAGAACAGAGCCCGUCUUGGAGAGCCCCUUGCAGAGGACCAGCAGCGGCAGUUCCUCCAGCUCCAGCACACCCAGCUCUCAGCCAAGCUCGCAAGGAGGCUCCCAGCCUGGCUCACAAGCCGGAUCUAGUGAACGAACCAGAGUUCGAGCCAACAGUAAAUCAGAAGGAUCACCUGUGCUCCCUCACGAGCCUUCCAAGGUAAAACCAGAAGAGUCCAGGGACAUCACCCGGCCCAGUCGACCAGCUGAUCUGACUGCAUUAGCCAAAGAAUUAAGAGAACUCCGCAUUGAAGAAACCAACCGUCCACUGAAGAAAGUGACCGAUUACUCUUCCUCCAGCAAGGAGUCAGAGAGCAGUAAGGAAGAGGAGGAAGAUGAAGAGAGCGAGACCCACGAUGGGACAGUGGCUGUCAGCGACAUACCCAGGCUGAUACCAACAGGACCCCCAGGGACCAAUGAACAGUACAACAUGGGACUGGUCGGAACUCAUGGGCUGGAGACUGCUCACACAGACACUUUUGGCAGCAGUAUCUCAAGAGAAGGAACCUUGAUGAUUAGAGAGACAGCUGAAGAGAAGAAGCGAUCUGGCCACAGUGACAGCAAUGGCUUUGCAGGUCACAUCAAUCUCCCAGACCUUGUGCAGCAGAGCCAUUCCCCAGCUGGAACUCCCACAGAGGGCUUGGGCCGUGUGUCCACCCACUCCCAGGAGAUGGACUCCGGGACUGACUAUGGCCUUGGGGGCAGCACCAAAGCCUCCUUUACCCCCUUUGUGGACCCCAGAGUAUAUCAGACUUCACCCACUGAUGAAGAUGAAGAGGAUGAAGAGUCAACCGCUGCCGCCCUGUUUACUAGCGAACUUCUUAGACAAGAGCAGGCCAAACUCAACGAAGCAAGGAAGAUUUCAGUGGUAAAUGUAAACCCAACAAACAUUCGCCCUCAUAGUGACACGCCGGAAAUCAGAAAAUACAAGAAACGAUUCAAUUCGGAAAUACUUUGUGCAGCUCUGUGGGGUGUAAACCUUCUGGUGGGAACUGAAAAUGGCUUGAUGCUUUGGACAGAAGUGGGCAAGGCAAAGUCUACAAUCUGAUCAACCGGAGGCGAUUUCAGCAGAUGGAUGUGCUAGAAGGGCUAAAUGUUCUUGUGACAAUGUCAGGAAAGAAGAACAAGCUACGAGUUUAUUAUCUUUCAUGGUUGAGAAACAGAAUACUACACAAUGACCCGGAAGUGGAAAAGAAACAAGGCUGGAUCACGGUUGGGGAUCUGCAAGGCUGUAUACAUUACAAAGUUGUUAAAUAUGAAAGGAUUAAAUUCUUGGUGAUUGCCUUAAAGAAUGCAGUGGAGAUAUAUGCUUGGGCCCCUAAACCUUAUCACAAGUUCAUGGCAUUUAAGUCUUUUGCAGAUCUCCAGCAUAAGCCUCUGCUUGUUGAUCUCACAGCAGAAGAAGGUCAAAGAUUAAAGGUUAUUUUUGGCUCACACACUGGUUUCCAUGUAAUUGACGUGGAUUCAGGAAACUCUUAUGAUAUCUACAUACCAUCUCAUAUUCAGGGCAACAUCACUCCCCAUGCUAUCGUCAUCUUGCCUAAAACAGAUGGAAUGGAGAUGCUUGUUUGCUAUGAGGAUGAGGGUGUGUACGUGAACACCUACAGCCGGAUCACUAAGGAUGUGGUGCUCCAAUGGGGAGAAAUACCCACGUCUGUGGCCUACAUUCAUUCCAAUCAGAUAAUGGCCUGGGGCAAGAAAGCUAUUGAGAUCCAGUCAGUGGAAACAGGACAUUUGGAUGGAGUAUUUAUGCAUAAGCGAGCUCAAAGGUUAAAGUUUCUAUGUGAAAGAAAUGAUAAGGUAU